GAGACACAGAGACAGACGCACCCGUUCUCUCUCGUCCUCUCUUCACGCACGCGCGCGCGCGCACACACACAUGCUCACGCACGCAGACGGCAACUUUCCUCUAGUGGACUGACACCACACACUCGCCAGGAUAGACACACUCCCCUUACUACAGUGGAGAAGAGGAUAACGAUUGACAGCUCUGAAAAAAAAGAAAUACAGAAAAAGAAAAAGGUUCCCAGGUGAAGAGGAGGAACGUGCUGACAUUUUGCCCUGUCAGAAGCAAAAAAGCUUGUUCCCCUCUUUGUUUUCCUGCCUAACCAUGUCAGUAGUGAGAUUGCAUCAUCUCGUAAAUCUGUCGUGGUGACACAUGAAACUUACAUCACACCACUUUGACGAUGAUGGUUUUGACAGUGAGCAUUCAAGAUUAAAUCAGUCAAUGUGAGUCCCAUGUGGUAAAAAAUAAUGUAAGUGUGAAUAUACACCUUCAGGUACUUGAUGAGAUGAUGAAUAUGACAUUUUUUGGCUCUCAAGAAAAAAAAUAUUUGAAAAAAAAAAAGUAAUAAGCGAUCCCAGUAGCUCUACUCUUUGAAAAGCUCUGGUCUGCCAGUAUGGUGGUCUCUCCUUCUCUGUCAGUAGCAUGUCUUCAGCUGUAUCUGGUUGCUGUGGUGACAUGUGUGUGUCAGCGGUAGGAUGUGUGAUGUGCUUGUGUGUGCGUGCGCAUGGAGCGGCGGGUGUUGAAAGGACUCUGUAGAGGCAGAGUUCCCCUGUCCAGAAAUUCCAGCAACACAUACAUGUCAGUGAUCAGAUACAGAAACUGUAGGUAUGCAGACACUGCACACCUGCAUGUAUGUACACACAUAUAUACAAGAAAUACACAGACAGCACGGACACACACGUCGACAGAUAUCCAG
ensembl:lncRNA